rnacentral:lncRNA from 1 species
GAAUAAGGAUAAUUGAUAAGAAGGGGUUUUCUUUUUAUUUUAUUACACUUAGUUCAACAAUUAUGUUUCUUAGUGAGAUAAUGUUCUUUUCAUGCAUGUAAUUCCUGUGUAUUUACGAAUAUUUUCUUUUUUGUACAUUUGGAUAAAUAUUGAAGGAUCUUUGUCUGUCUUGUUCUCUGGAUGGUCAAUCUUGAGUUUCACUAGAUUUGUCUUAUUCUGCGUUGAAUUUUAAUGUAAUUUGUGCCUUUAGUGUUUGGUUUGUGGUCCCUUUUUCAUUUUAUGUAUAAAUUUUAGAAAAUUAUGUUCUUUGAGUGAGAAUGUUCUCUUUGUUCCUAUAAAUUUGAUAUUAGUUCUCUCUGUAAUUUUGAUGUUGGUUUGUGAUUUUGGUUGGGCUUUGAUUGAGUGAGCUUCGACCAUUAGAUAUAUGUAACUUUUUUUUUUUGGGUCUAUAAUUUCAUGUUUAUGAUUUUACGUUCUUUGUUGGGAUGAAUCUAAUAGGAUCUUUGUUGAUGAUUUUAGCUUCAAGUGUCAUUGGCACUAAGGGUAUUUUCCUAGUUUGGUUUCUGAUAUUUCAGCAUCACUCACACAGCAACACCCGAAUUUUCAUAUUUCUGAUCCGAAUGAUAAUGAGAAGUCCAAAGUCAACGCUCAACGUGCAUGGAAGAUUAUCUUAGUUUUUAUGGUUUUGGUCUGUAUCCUACUAGUUCCCUCGACCUCUUCUUUGUCAAUAAUCUCUAUGUGUGAAUAGAUCUCUUCAGAGUUCAUUGAUUUCACUUUUGCUCUAUGUUCUAAACGUAAUAUUGCUUUCUGACAAAGGUCCGAUGCUUAUCCAGGUAACUGUUUCUUCAUUCCUCUUUUAUUUUUUUGAUGGCGGGUAUGGCAUCGGUUGAAUUCACAUUUCUCUACAAAUUUUGCAAUUUACAGCAGCUUUGCCUAAUAAGAUGUCAACUUUUCAUAUUUCUAUUUCUGAAGCAAAUAAUCUGUUAAAGAGAAAUUAAACAUUCGAAUGUCUUUUUGGAAGGCCUGUGUUUUUAUUUUAGUUUUCUCAAUUAGAUUUCUACAGAAAAGCAGCAACCACAAAAACGUCGUCGAACUUGAAGAGUCUUCGCACCUAUAUCCAGGUUUGCCUUUGG